UACUACUCAGACACUUGACAAGGAGCAAGGAAUCACUGUUCUUGAAAAAGCAAUCAUGGCUUGCACCGAGGCAAUUGAGCAUCACAAGGGAAAGCUUGUGGUGAAGGAGACACCCAGAGCGGUGAGUGAAAGAGAUGACAAGUUGCUUGCCGAGCACAUGGCGAAGCUACGACAAGAUAAUGAAGAAAUCAGCGGAGAUGAGGAUAGCGAGGAAGAGGAAGACACGGGAAUGGGAGAAGUCGAUGUUGAGAAUGCAGGUUCUGGGAUCACUGAGUAAUGAUUGUUGUAGGGAAUUUUGUAGGAAUAGAGAAGAAGGUUUUCACAUCACCAAGAGACUAACACAUACUUGAGUUAUUACAAUUGGGAAAUUG
rnacentral:misc_RNA from 1 species